CCUACGGGGGGCGGCAGUGGGGAAUUUUGCGCAAUGGGCGAAAGCCUGACGCAGCAACGCCGCGUGCGGGAUGAAGGCCCUCGGGUCGUAAACCGCUUUCAGCAGGGACGAAAAUGACUGUACCUGCAGAAGAAGCCCCGGCUAAAUACGUGCCAGCAGCCCCGGUC
rnacentral:rRNA from 1 species